GACGAACGCUGGCGGCGUGCUUAACACAUGCAAGUCGAACGGAAAGGCCCUGCUUUUGUGGGGUGCUCGAGUGGCGAACGGGUGAGUAACACGUGAGUAACCUGCCCUUGACUUUGGGAAAACUUCAGGAAACUGGGGCUAAUACCGGAUAGGAGCUCCUGCUGCAUGGUGGGGGUUGGAAAGUUUCGGCGGUUGGGGAUGGACUCGCGGCUUAUCAGCUUGUUGGUGGGGUAGUGGCUUACCAAGGCUUUGACAGGUAGCCGGCCUGAGAGGGUGACCGGCAACAUUGGGACUGAGAUACGGCCCAGACUCCUACGGGAGGCAGCAGUGGGGAAUAUUGCACAAUGGGCGGAAGCCUGAUGCAGCAACGCCGCGUGCGGGAUGACGGCCUUCGGGUUGUAAACCGCUUUCGCCUGUGACGAAGCGUGAGUGACGGUAAUGGGUAAAGAAGCACCGGCUAACUACGUG
rnacentral:rRNA from 1 species